rnacentral:rRNA from 1 species
ACGCCUUAUACAUGCAAGUCGAACGAAGUAGUAAUACUUAGUGGCAGACGGGUGAGUAACAUGUAGGUAUCUUCCCUUUGGUGAGGAAUAACACGAGGAAACUUGUGCUAAUACCUCAUAAGUCUUUACGGAGAAAGCUUUAUGCGCCGAAGGAUGAGCCUGCACUUGAUUAGUUUGUUGGUGGGGUAAAGGCCUACCAAGACUUUGAUCUAUAGCUGAUCUGAGAGGAUGAUCAGCCACAUUGGGACUGAGACACGGCCCAAACUCCUACGGGAGGCAGCAGUAGGGAAUAUUGCACAAUGGAGGAAACUCUGAUGCAGCGAUGCCGCGUGAGUGAAGAAGGCCUUUGGGUUGUAAAGCUCUUUCGUCGGGGAAGAAAAUGACUGUACCCGAAUAAGAAGGUCCGGCUAACUUCGUGCCAGCAGCCGCGGUAAUACGAAGGGACCUAGCGUAGUUCGGAAUUACUGGGCUUAAAGAGUUCGUAGGUGGUUAAAAAAGUUGGUGGUGAAAUCCCAGAGCUUAACUCUGGAACUGCCAUCAAAACUUUUUAGCUAGAGUAUGAUAGAGGAAAGCAGAAUUUCUAGUGUAGAGGUGAAAUUCGUAGAUAUUAGAAAGAAUACCAAUUGCGAAGGCAGCUUUCUGGAUCAUUACUGACGCUGAGGAACGAAAGCAUGGGUAGCGAAGAGGAUUAGAUACCCUCGUAGUCCAUGCCGUAAACGAUGUGUGUUAGACGUUGGAAAUUUAUUUUCAGUGUCGCAGCGAAAGCAUUAAACACACCGCCUGGGGAGUACGACCGC